rnacentral:tRNA from 1 species
GGUGGCUCAGUGGUAGAGUACUUGCCUCACAAGCAUGAGGCCCUGGGUUUGAUUCCUCAGCACCA